GUGUAUUAUUGAUGAUUAUAACAUCAAAUAAUAUCAUAGCAGGUUAUCCUUGAAGAGGCUAACACCUUAAGAAAAGAUCAACAUGAGUACACCACCUGGGAACUGGGAAGGGCAAUCCACUUCUAGUCCUCCACUCUUCAAUGGACAGUACUAUUCUUGGUGGAAAACAGGAUGAUAGUUCAUGUCAUUGGAGAGGACUAUGAACUCUGGGACAUAGUCACUGAUGACCCCUUGGCAACUACAAAUAAGAAUAAUGAAGGAGUGUAAGUACCAAAGAUAAGAGUUGACUGCACUGCUGAAAACCUAAAAAAAGUGGGAGAAAAAUGUUAAGGCCAAGAAAUAGCUUGUGUGUGGACUAGGUCCAGAUGAGUACACCAUGAUCCAAAGUUGUAUCACUACUAAGAGAUCUAGAACACUUUGCAAUUGGCUCAUGAAGGAGCACCUCAAGUGAAGAGGUCCAGAGGAACAUAUUUUAUUCUUAAUAUGAGAAUUUUACUAUGAAGGAAGGAGAAACUAUCCAGGAGAUGUAUACUAGGUUCGCUACAUUGACAAAUGAACUUAAGUCUUUUGGAAGGACUAUUCUUGAAGAAGACAAGGUUGAGAAAAUCUUGACAAGGAUUCUACCAGUCUCAUAGGAAAGCAAAAUUACUACUAUUCAGGAAUCUAAGAAUAUUGCUACCCUCAAGUUGGAUGAACUAAUUGGAAAUCUUACUGCCUAUGAACUGAGAAGCCAAACAAUGAAGAUGGACACACCAAAGAAGGAAAGAAGCUUUGAUCUCAGAAUUGCUGAAGGUUCAGAUCUGGAGGAUGAUGAAAUGGCUAUGAUAACAAGGGAUUUCAAAAGGUACCUGAUGAGAGGAAAGGGUUCUUCAAGAGGUACAACCUUCAACAAACCAAUGGCUCCUGAGAAACAGACCGGCGAGGGUUGCUUCAAAUGUGGUAAGACCAAUCACGACCUUCAACAAACCAAGGGCUCUUGAGAAACAGACCAAUGAGAGUUAUUACAAGUAUGGUAAGACUGAUCAUAUGAUCGACAACUGCGCUCAAUGGGAAAUUGAGUGGAAGAAAGAAAGGGUUGAAUGGAGAAACAUGAAGAGGGAAUAGGUUCAACCAAAGAGGAACAAAGGAUCAAAAAAGUCUCUGGUUGCUUCCUGAGGAGAAACAUCAUAUGAGGACUCAGAGGAUGAAGCUAAAGAUGAAUAGGCCCUUAUGGCAAUUGGAGAAUCUGAUGAUGAACAAGUGGUAAGUAUUCUUCAUCUCAAAGACAAGAUUAAACUUCUAUCUAAGGAAAGGAUGGCUGAGCUAUUACAGGACUUCAUUGAUAAGUCUGAGAUAAUUAACAAUGAGAAGGAAGAUCUUUCUAGGGAACAUGUGAUACUAAAAGCAAAAUGCAAAAGUCUAUAGUCUAGAGCUAAGGAGAUUGAUAGCAAAAAUGUUGAGUUGAACAACCAAGUUCUUGGAAUUGACACCAGUGUCCUAGAACUUAAAUCUGAAAACAUAAAAGUGAAACUAGGAACGGAAAGAAGAAAGCUGAUCACACAUACCUCACUUUAGAAGAAAACUUAGGAAAAAUGAAGGAUGAGUUGUAUAAGAAGGAUGAAUUGAUUAAAGUCCUAAAAGAAGAUCUAAGAAAGGUGAAACAUGAACUAGACAGAACUUGCAAAUGGAUCAAGGCUUCUGAUGCACUUUCUUGGUUGCAAGAGCAUCAUGGUAGCAACAGAAGAGGACAUGGCUAUGUGACUCAAGCACCAAAGUGGGACCCUAAAAGCAAAGACCUCAUACUUCCUGAAAAUGAAAUCUACUCAUAUUGUGGCAAGACUGGCCAUUAAAAGAGUGAGUGUAAUGCUAAAGGAAAGGCCAGUCAAAAGAACAAAGCCUUUGUUCAAGAGAAAAGUAAGCUACCUGGGUGGUCAAGAAGGAAUAUGAUUCAUCCUUUUGCCUAUAGAAAGGGACCCAAACUUGUUUGGGUUCCUAAUACUAACCCCUGAUUUCUUUUUGCAUGUCUAAGUGAAAUAAAGUAGUCAAAUAUGGUAUAUGGAUAAUGGGUGCUCAAAACAUAUGAAUGGGAGCAAGGACCGGUUUCUUUCACUUGAGGACUUAAAAGGAGGCAAUGCCUCAUUUAGGAAUGGGAAGAAAGGUGAGAUAAUUGGGUCGGAAAGGUAGGUAAGACAGACUCUCACUCUAUUGAGAAUGUCUACUUAAUAGAUGGCUUGAAAUAUAGCCCGAUUAGUGUGUCAAAACUGUGUGACUGAGGUAACCUUGUAGCAUUCACCUCUACUAAAUGCUUUGUGAUUAAUCGUACUACUGACAAGAUUGUUUUGCAGGGAAAAAGAGUUAACAAUAUUUACAUUGUACAUUUGUCCACUAUAUCAUAAAAUGAACUAACUUGUCUAAGUGUGCUGUAUAAUGAACCCAUCCUAUAUCAUAAAAUGAACUAACUCAUCUAAGUGUGCACAAAAGACUUGGUCAUGCAAGUCUAAAUCAGCUAAAAAAUUAGUCUCUAAGGACUUGGUGAUAGGAUUACCUAAUAUCAAGUUCAAGGAAAACAAAGUUCGUGAGGCAUGUGAAAGGGGGAAGCAGGUAAGAUCGUCCUUCAAAAGCAAGAAAAUUGUACGUACAACCAAGUCGUUGGAACUGGUCCAUAUAGAUCUAUGUGGUCCAAUGAGAACCAUGAGUAUAGGUGGAAAGAAAUAUGUAAUGGUGCUUGUUGAUGAUUACUCUAGAUUUACUUGGAUUCUAUUUAUAACUUCCAAAGACAAAGCAUUUGACCUGUUUACUGCAUUUGUUAGAAAAACUCAAGAACAAUUAGGAAAUAAACUUGCAUCCAUUAGAUCUAACCAUGGAACUGAAUUUGAAAAUUACAAGUCUUCUAAAUUCUAUGAUGAAAAUGGUAUAGAUCAUAAUUUCUCUGCCUCUAGGAUUCCUCAACAAAAUGGAGUAGCUGAAAGGAAUAAUAGGAAUCUUGAGGACAUGGCUAGAACCAUGCUACUUUCUAGUAAGUUGCCCCACAGCUUAUGGGCAGAGGCUGUAAACACUGCAUGUUACAUAAUCAAUAGAUUCAUGACUAGACCUCUGGUAGAGAAAACUCCCUAUGAGUUACUUAUAGGGAGAAAACAAAACAUAUCUCAUCUUUGGGCAUUUGGUUGCAAGUGCUAUAUGCAUAAUAAUGGAAAGGAAUCCCUAGGUAAGUUUCAAGAAGUGAUUAGGGAGUAUUCUUGGGUUAUUCUUCACAUAGCAAAGCAUAUAAAGUGUUUAAUAAAAGAACUCUGUGUGUAGAAGAAAGUGUACAUAUAUAUUUGUUGAAACUAACAUUCUUUCUGAUAGACAGGAACCUGAAGAUGAAGCCAUUGGAUUAGUAAAGGAUUUAACUGAAGCCUCAGCUCAAGUCAAAGUAGCACCAACAGAAGAAAUAGGUGACGAACGGGUUCUUCCAUCUAGGGGCAACCUAAAAUGGGGAACUAAUCAAAGGGGAAUCGAAAUAAAUCCCUUGAAGGAACUUGUUCAUGACCCUGUUCCUCAUCAACAAAACAUGGGAGAAAGAUCUAGCAGAAACCAUUUGGUUGUGAAACCUCACAAGUAUAAAAGUUCUCAUCCCUUUAAGAACAUUAUCACUGAUCCAACAUCUAGAGUUAAAAUUAGAUCAAAAGUAAAGAAUAUGUGUCCUUUUGAUGCCUUUGUGUCUUUUAUUGAUCCUAAAAAUGUUGUUGAGGCUUUUCAGGAUGCAGAUUGGGUGACUGCUAUGCAAGAGGAACUCAAUCAGUUUGAAAGAAGUCAAUUUUGGCAUCUAGUUCCAAGACCCUAGGACAAAUCAUCAUUGGUACAAAAUGGGUCUUCAGAAACAAACUUGAUGAAGACAGAAUAGUUAAAAGGAACAAGGCAAGACUGGUGGUCCAAGGUUGUAGCCAAGAGGAGGGCAUAGACAAUGAUGAGACUUUUGCUCAUAUUUCAAGAGUAGAGGCAAUCAGACUCCUUAUAGCUUUUGCAGCACACAUUGAACUCACUCUACAUCAAAUGGAUAUCAAAAGUGUCUUCCUAAAUGGCUACCUGAAAGAGAAAGUGUUUGUGAAACAACCACCAGGGUUUGAGAGCAAGAAAUAUCCUGAGCAUUUGUAUAAGUUAGACAAGUCCCUCUAUGGACUCAAGUAGGGUCCAAGAGCAUAGAAUGAAUGAAUGUCAAAAUUCCUACUGGACUAUGGUUACAAGAGAGGUAAAAUUGAUAGUACCUUAUUCUGAAAGGAAAACAAGUAAGGAUCACCUUGUUGUAUAUAUAUAUAUUUAUGACAUAAUCUUUGGGGCCAAUACAGAUAACUUAAUUAAGGACUGCAAGAAUAAUAGGGAGUGAGUUUGAAAUGAGCAUGAUGGGUGGCCUUAACUUCUUUUUAGCCUUACAAAUCAAACAAACUCAAAUAGAACCAUGAUUCACCAGCAGAAGUAUGCAAAGGAACUAAUCAAAAAGAUUAAAAUGGAAGAAACAAAGGAUAUAAAUACACUUAUUGCAAUUGCUACUAAAUUAAAUGUUUGUGAACCUGGUAUAUCUAUUGUCCAAAAGUUGAAUAGCGGUAUGAUAUGUUCACUUCUGUAUCUUACUGCUAGUAGACCUGACAUUGUUUUCAGUAUAUGACUUUGUGCUCGCUUUCAGGCAAAUCCUAAAAAGUCUAAUCUGACUGUUGUCAAACGUAUACUAAGAUACUUAAAAGGCACCAUUGAUCUGUGUAUUUAGUAUCCCAAAGGUAGCAAUUUUGAUCUAGUAGGAUAUGCUGAUACUGAUUAUGCAUGUUUUCUAGUGGAUAGGAAGAGCACCUCAAGUAUGGAAAACUUCCUUGGUUCAUGUCUUGUGUCAUGGGCUACCAUAAAGCAAAAUCAGUGACCUUAUCUACUGCUGAAACUGAGUAUAUUGCUUCUCCAUCUUGUUGUGCUCAAUUGCUAUGGAUCAAAUAGCAGUUAGUAGAUUUUCGUAUUGAAGUCGGUUGAAUUCCAAUAUUAUGUUAUAACACUAGUACUAUAAGUAUGACAAAGAACCAUGUUCAUCAUAAGAGGACUACGAUUAUAGAUGUUAGAAACCAUUUCUUAAGAGAUAACUAUGAGAAAGGACUAAUCUCCAUAGAAUUUGGUUAUGAGUUCUAUUCUUUGUAUAAAUAACUAGAUUAAUUUACUCAGCUUCAUACUUUAAUUAGUAUACUCAUGUGACUUGUGUAUAUAUGAUUCACUUAUCACUUACAAUGUUUUUCUAUUAUGACAUUUGAGACAUGUUCAAGAGAGUUCUAUAUGAAGAACCUGGUUCAUCAGUAUGUGUUCAUGUGAAAGUAUGUUUUCAAUAAUUUGCAUAAUUAGAAAGAUUAAUAAUACAAAGAUGAGCAGAAGUCUGGUCAUUGUUAAAUUCCUAGAAAAUUUUAUCCGUUGAGGCAUCGAACCAGUUUCGUCAAUUUAGAACUCUAAAACCAUGAUUUUUGCCUAAAUUCUAGGGAAGCCAAAUAAUUAAAGUACUGGAAUUAUAGGUUGAUUAGACUUCUCUUUGACCUUGGAAAAGCUGUCACUAGUGAGUGAAUGUCUAAUUGCUUUAAAUACACACUACAUCUCUAAUCUUCUUCAUUAUGCAAUAACCGUUAAAAAAUUUCCUUCAGUUCUAAAAUCGCUUCUCCUCCCCAGAAUUCCCAAAAUCCUCUUCUUCAAAAAUUCCCAAAGCUUCUCAACCAACGAAGAACCAUGUCUAACCCUAAAGAUAAUCAUGGUACUCCCCCACCACCAACUCCAUCAAAUACAUCCUCAUCUACUCCUCCCACUGAGUCCCCAAACCUAGGUUUCGAAGGCAAAAAAUGUUGGCUAGAAAAACUAUAGCAUCUGGAGCUUUGAGAAAGGUUUUAAAUGAGAGAUUGAAAGUUAGCCGAAUGAAAGAAAGCCCAACACAAGAAUCUGACUCCAGUUCUGAGUCAGAAUCCUUUAUAUCUACCAGUGAAGGUGAUGAACAUGGGUCUUCUGACACUGAGAAAAUUCAAGAAACGUCUGUUGAGGUAAGUUCUUCUGUGGUUGAAAACUUAGAAAAUAGGUUUGUUCUAGUUGGACCUAUUAGAGAUAUUAAGGUGGCUGAAUCGAGUAGGAGUGGGAAAUAAAGAGGCAAAGGAGAAGUUCUUGCUAUAUGUGGAGUUGAAUAAAAAAGUGGCAUAAAGUCAGGGGGAAGUGGAUCAGGGAAAGCAGCUGAAGGGUUGGUUCAUCUAAGCAAACAAACAAAUGAACCUGGUUCAUCUGCUGAGGAAACUCUAGAUGAUCCUAUGAAAAAGGUUGGGGCAGGAUAUGACACAAAGAAACACAAAUCAACCUUACAAAAGGCCCCAACUGUUCCCAAGUCAUCCAAGAAAAGAAAGACUUUAUCCUUAAAAUCUAGUGCCUCUUCAGUACGUAGGGGAAGGGCUACAAGAAGUAAGGUAAGACAAAGUGAAGCUGAGCUAUAAAAAGCUCUGGAAGAAAGCAAGAAGAAGAAAACAGAGAAGGGAAAGAAAAAGUUUGCAGAGUCCUUUGAGGUUGAAGAAGAAGAGGAGAUGGAACUGGUACAUCAAGAAAGGGGAACAAUAGUGGAGGUUUCUACACCAAAACCUAAAAAGUCCAAGACUUCUACCGAGAAGUCUCCUUCUGUACAUGAGUCUGAUGAACCCCCACUAGCCAAAAGUACAAGAUCUACAAUGAAAAGGCAAGCAAAAGAAAAUUUUUGAAGAAGAUGAAGAGUGGAGUGGAAAAGAAGAACAGGAAUCUGAGAAGGAGCAGGAUAAGUUUGCCAUCUUUGGCAGAAGAAAAAUUCUAAAAGGAAGAUUGUUGAAGGACAUGGGUGAACAAGAAUGAUGAGACUGCUAGAUGCUCUAGCUGCACAAGGUUGGAAGGACAUGGUCCUUGAAAUGGAUGGGAGGCUGGCCAUGAAUGAGCUGAUUGAAUUUAUGGCCAAUACUGAUGUGAAGGAUGGAGUAGUCACCAGCUUGGUAAAAGGAGUGAAAGUGGAGUUUGAUGCACUCAAACUGGGUGAGAUUUUGGACAUAGCCAUGGAAGGGUAUGAUGAUUAUACAAGACAAAGGUGGCCAUGUAUGGAUUCUCUUCCCACUGCUAUUGAAAUCACUAGAAGGUUUUGUGAUUAUAAAGAUGUGUCUGAAGCCAGAUUUGUGCAGAAGAGUGAAAUAUGACCUGAGCACAAGGUCUUGUUUGAAUUUGUCAACAAGUGCCUCUUACCCAGACAUGAGAGGAGACACACUGCAAAUUACAUGGACCUGAUUCUUAUGGAGUGCCUAGAGAGAAAAUGCAAAUCAACUGGCCUACUUUUAUUGUCAAAUUACUAGACAGGGUCAUCAAUGGCUCUAAGGCAUAUUCUACUCCAUAUGGGUUCAUACUGACUACUGUGCUGGACAAGCUGAACGUACCUUUGAAGAAAUGGGAAAUGGCAUCAAGCAAAGAAUAAUUUGGUGUUAAGAUUCUGAUGGCUUUUGACUAUCCAAUCAAUGCUAUCCCAGUUGAACCUGGUUCAUCUUUGAGGACACCCAUCAAUAGCAAGUUAGGGUUUUGGUUCAGGAGUGUGGAACUAAGGAUGAUGCAAUUGUUAAGCCCAAGGCACAUAUUACUAAAUUGGAAACUGAAAGAGAUGGCCUUAGAACUGAGCUAGCAAAAGAAAAGGACAAAAGCAAUGGAAUGCUUCAGAAUAUGCUAAACCUUCUCCAAUCUAAACCCUCUAGUUCCUCCAAGCCCUAGGUCUCCUAGCACUUAUCUUUUGAACCAGUCAAGUAACCCCCCAGUGACCCAGAUUAGGGAUGUUCCUAUUUUCUUUGAUGGUUAAGCUAAGUUCUUACAGGUUCUCUAAUCAGUGAAAGCACAAAGUUUGUCAUCAUCAAAAAGGGAAAAUUUGUUGGCCCGACAACAAGUAAAGGUUUUGAAGAAUGACAAAUGAAUUCAGUCAUGGACCAGGUCUAUCAUGUGAGGCACAAUGUUAUCAACCCAUAAAUGUGAUCAAAAAGGAGAUAAGUCUCAGUGAUAAAGCAGCAAUAUCUCCUGAACUAGUCAAAAAGGUUGCAUAUUGGAUAAGGAGAGAAAUUCUCCUAAUGAUAAGAGGACACAUUCCGGAUAAAGGAUAGGGUUGGAGUUUUUGUUGUUCAAGGACUCAACUUCGAUGGAAGAUUACAAAUUGAGUCUCAUUUAAACUCUAAUUACUAAUUAAUUAAAUAACAGUGAUUGUUCUGUAUAAUAGGCAUUGCACAAACGCAGAAGUGAAACUAAACUGAGACCAAAAAGAGAGGCAAUUUUGCAAGCAAUAUAUGUGAGAUUUGAGUGUGCAUUCCUGAAGCUACUUGGACAAGAUAUAAGAAAUAAUUUCAUUGUGUCUUUCUUUUAUUCUAGUUCAAUUGUAGUAGGUCGUUUAAAGUUGUACCUUUCAGCUUUCAUAUAAGCAUUUGUACUAGGUACUUUGAGACUUCAAGUUAGAGUUAACUUGAAGGUGUCGCAACAGUUGUGGCUGUGUGCUACACAGGGAUUAGAUUUUAAUCCUUAGGUUUACAAGAGUUUUGUAAAUGCUAUUUUGGAUCAGUGAUUUUAGUGGAGGUUUGGGAAAAUCCAACUGAGUAGUAGGUUGUUGUUUUUUUACCUUUUGAGCGAGGUGUUUUCCACAUAAAAAUCACCGUGUUCUUUAUUUUACGUACUUUUAAUUCCACAAACAGUAGUAGUAAGUACAACUAGAAGAACCAGGUUCUUCUAGACUGAAAAUUGGGUACCACACAAAUCCCCCCCCCCCCCCUCUUCUGUGUUAUGGAUGAUUAGAACAUCAAAACUACUCAGGGUUCAGAUGAGACACUCGUGAACUAUGACAUGCUAUGAUUUGGUCCUUAGUUUUCCUUGAACUGUUAUGAUCAUUUCUCUAUAGUGUCAGUACUGCCCUAUGUUCUUGAAAUCCUUAGGAACUCUAACAAACUAGAGACUUGGGUUCUUAGAUAUCAGUAAAUCAUUCACUGCUAGUUAUGAUAGGCUACAAUCACAUAUUUUAGUCACUUAUUAUACUCAAAUUUACUGCACUUUAAUUGAGUUUGAGCUUUAAUCGCUAGUGUUUUGCACUAAUUAUGUGUUUUAUGCCUUGUAGGAGUGAUUCCGAGCUAUGUCGAUGUUAUGGAAUGAAUUAACGUAAUUUAUAGCUUUGAAUUCUGAGUAAAAGCCCAAGAAAAUAAGCUGGGAUCGUAUUCAGGGAUCAAUAGAUGAUAAAGCAACAAAACAAAGAAUUGAGUAGGUAUUUUGUACACUUUCUAGUAAAAUGUACAUAACUAUUUUCUCAGAACUCUAUUUGUACUCUACAACAUAUGGUUGGAAAGAUAACACAAAGGUAUAAAAUUUUCACAUUUUAUGUUUUACAAAAUUCCAAAUGUAAGAUGGUCAAUAACACGGUCGAAACCGCGACCAUGGACUUGAGGCGGGCAGAGGCAGUACUCUAGGAAAGUACCGUGGCAGAAGACGUCUUUGCCUGGAAACUUGUCCUUUUUCACGUAGGAGAAGGUAUAAUUAUUUGGGUCUGACCCUACUUGGUAUAUAUACAUGGAAAAACAGUAUUUUGAGGGGAGGAGACCAGUUUUUAACAUAGAUUCGACCUAAUGAGGCAGAGACACAAUAGAAGCAAGCGGGGAAUUCUUCGACGAGUUUUUCCUUCCUCUUCCUAUUUUUUUAUUGUUAAUUAUGAAUUUUAGUAUUGUAGUUUUACAUAAAAUUGAAUAGUUAAUUUUUUAUCUGGGGUUUUGAUGGAACCUUUUGUAGGAUAAAUUCUUGUUAUCUUUUUAUAUAAUUGAGCCAUAGUAUUUUUUCUAUUUAUUCAACUAUAUUAUUCUUGUGGUUGAUUAAAGGGCCCUCAAUUAACAGUGCCUAUUUAGUAUAUAUUACUCGGGAGAGAGUGCAUAUUUAGGCAGUUGUUAGAUAACAUCACUCCCGACGUAUGUGAGAAAUCAAUAACCAAGGGUUUAAAGGUGGGAUUAGAGAUAAUGAAACCUUGGGUGCGCUCUAAGUGAGCUGUAAUUAAAGCCAGCUAGCGUAACUCGGAAGAGUAUGUCUAGUAAAUUGUCAUAGUUACUCGGGAGAGAAUUAUAACACGCAGAGCGCUCAUGAUCGGUAGUGAAUACUUAGGCGAAAUAAUAAAAGACACAGUGUGAAGGAUUCCAACAAUUGGGAAAAUCAUAACUCUAGACCUCCUUAAUCUUUCCUCCAACCUGUAAUAUCUUUAGUGUUAAUAUAUUAUUUUAACAUGUUAGUUAGUUAGUUAAACACAAGAAUAUUAAUAUCUAUAAAUUAGGAAUUUUUCAAGCUUGUAUUCUUGGUGAUAAUGAACAACUAUAGCUAAGCCUUAAUUCUCUGUGGAUUCGACUCCGGACUUGUAAGCUGGAUUAUAUUUGCAAUGUCUGCUUAGUCUUUUUUAUAAAGCAUUGUUGGGCAUGAUCAAAAUUUGGGGUCAUUGUCGGGGAACUAAUGGUGUAGUUGUAGAUGUAUAUAUUGCUAAGGUUCAAGUUUGAACUUUUAUUUAUUUAUUUAUUUUUGUAUUUUUUAUAACUAUUAAUUUGAUAAACAUGACAUCUUGAAGUUAUUGAAAUUUGGGUAUAGAUAAUUCUACUAUUGACCCUCAUACGUAUUGUGAAGGAAACCACCCGUAUCAAAGUUAUAAAAAUAUUCCCGAGAGCGAGUUAUGUGCAACAACUCAAUCUUAUUUGUGAAAUGUGUGUGAUGUGUGUGGUGGUAAAAAUGGUCACUUUAAUUGUUGUGCUUAUAUUUUUAUCUUCCCCCAACCUCUUACUAUGAUGGUUCUACCUUUUCUUGUGAAGUUAAUAGGAACAAAGUACCUGGGGAUAUAUACCUGAAUGAGAUCAAGGAUAUAUUAAAGUACCUUCUGAAACAAAAUAAAGAAAAACAAUUGCAGAUAGAAAGGCAAGAGGUAACUAUUCGCAAGUUCGAGGCUCAAUUGAGUCUAGUGGUUGGAGAUUUUAAUGGUCAACAAGCCAAUAUUCAUGAUAGUAGCCAAGAAGAGUAUGAAUUUGAGGUAUUAAUUGGGGACGUCAAAGUAGAACAUCAACAACCUAGCCAACACAACUUGAGGAUGUCAAUGUUGAAGAAUGAAACUAGAGUCAGCCAAGGACAAUGAGAAUACAAAUUUUGUUGACUCUAGUAUCAUUGAUGUUGAGGAUGCUGAAAGUCUUGAAAUUCAUGUGUGUGAGUGCAUUGGUCCUCACUACAAAAUAUUUUUCUACAUUGUGCUUGGAUGAAGAUAUGGAAAUAAAGUCAUCUGAGCUGAUUGAGAAGUCAAGGAAUGAGGAACAAGGUUCCUACAUUCUGGAAUUUUUCUUGCCAGAAAGACAUGACUACAUACCUCAUCUAAAAGCCAAGAAGUGUGGAAUAGUACAAUGGUUGCUCGGGUCAAUUAGAUUUAAUCCUCCACCCCUGGAGCAUAGCCGAAAACUUGAUGUCAAAUUGGGGGUUCAAUUCAUAAGCUCGAGGUGGAGGAAAAAAGUUAUUUGUAUUGUUCCGCGAAGUUAAAUCAAGUGCUUGUUGGGAGGAAACUCACCUUUAUUGCUUUCUACUAUGUAUUAUUAUCUUUUUAGUUGUAUUAUUUGUGUUGUAUCAAUUUUAUAUUUUCUAGAAGCAUGGAAAGUAAAGGUAUUGGAAGGAUACAAUAGCAAACCAAAUGGUUGGAACUAAGUGUGAGGUACCCGCACGAAGGACCAAGCUUGGGAGAAGUCUAAGUACCCCAUGAGUUGUUAAUGCUUCGGCCGUUGGCCUACUAGGGAGUAUCUUUUACCCUUUUAUUAGUUAUAGUGUGCAUUGGAGAUAAUGCACAAUUUAAGUAAAAAGAAAAAAUAAAACAAAAAGAUUUUCUUUUGUUAGGUAGUGUAGCAAUCCUCCCUUGGUUUUCUCUGUGACACGGUUAUUUUUCAAGAGUUUUUUUAACAGGAUGUAGUUAGUUUUUUUAGGAAUAGGAGCCAUUAUGUUGUGUUUUAAAUUGAAUAAAUAUUUCUUGACUUUGUUAUGCCUUGAGAAUAGUGAGUACUUCGGUUAUGACGUUUAGGCUCAGUUUUUGACUCUUGUAUAAGUACCUUAAAUUGUAUGAUUUUAAAUUUUCUUAACUGCUUUGACUAGAGUGUCUUGAUGAUUCCAAUCCUGAGUGAGUUAUGUCAUGUGUGUGCAAGGAUUUGUUAUAUUCUAUGCAUUGCAUUUGAUGCCUAGAACUUGCCCCGUGUGUUUCAAAGUACUAUGUGUCAGGUGUGUGUGAGGUUUGGGAUUAUUUUGUGCAUUGCAUUUGAUGCUUAGAACUUGUCCCGUGUGUUUGCAACGCGAAAUAGUAGUUUUGUUCAGUCUAGGAAGUGAUAUAGGCAUUUUUUUGUUGAGCCAGACAUAUAUGUUUUACCCGCCUAAUUAUUAUAUAUCGUAGUAAAACCCUUUGAGCCUGUAAUCCUGUUUCUUUGGCAACCACAUUGCAAAUUUUACCCAUUUGAUGAAUUAACCAUCUAUUUGAAACAUUGUAACCUCUCAUGAGAACUUGAAUUAUUAUGAACUUUGUAAAGGUUAAAGUGUGGGGUGCUUGGUUUGGCUUUUGAGCGGAACUAAUUAAAUAAGGAGAAAGGUGAACUUUUUUGAAAAAGUAAGAGCCACUUAAAUUGGAAAAAAAAAAAAGAAAUAGUUGGAUUGUUCAUAAAAAAAUUAGUUGAUAAGUGGUGGCUCUUGAUGUAAGUGUUCUUAAAGAAGAAUGGGGUAAUAUACAUUAAUGUGAAAUUCGAGUUGUGGUUAGACAUAAGUAUAGGGUUUGAAUGUUAAAGUAAAUGUAUUAAAGUGCUUAGGGAGGUGUAGUCACUCUUAUAUCUAAAUGUAUUCUACCCGUCUUGUAGCCUACAUUACAACCAAAUAAAGUUUUAAUUUUUCCUAGAUUGAAUGAGCUCGAUUAGUGGUGUAGUACACUACGGGCUUGUGGUGCAUCUUUUUUAGCAUACGAAUGUUAUUUCUAAGAGUGAGUGAAUUUCUUUCUAUCUUGAGUUCCUAAGUGUUCUUAAAUUUUAUUGAGUGGAACUACUCUCUUUUUUUGUUGGUGGGCACUUGAUUCAUGAAGGAAAGAUAAUGUUAGUGAAUUGUAUGUUAGAGUAAGUGGGUGAAUUUUGAAUAAUAUAUGGUACUUGUGAGUCAAAUUUUGAGGUGAAGGUGUUACGCUUUUUUGCGUAGUUUAUUUUAAAUACUCUUGGUGUGAUGAGUUUGGAAAAUUAUCUAAGAAGGUCGUGUCUAUAAAAAAUGCAGUUUGAUUGCUCGAGGACGAGCAAUGGCUUAAGUGUGGGGUGUUAGUUAUAGGCUAUUAUUACGUAUUUUAGUCACUUAUUACACUCAAAUUUACUAGACUUUAAUUGAGUUUGAGCUUUAACCGCUAGUGUCUUGCACUGAUUGUGAACUUUAUGCCUUGUAGGAGUGAUUCCAAACUAUGUAGAUGUUAUGGAAUGAAUUCAAGUGAUUUGGAGCUUUGAAGUCUUAGUAAAAGCCCAACAAAACAAAGAAUCGAGUAGGCCUAUUGCGUAUUAUAUGGUAAAAUGUACAUAACUCUUUCUUCAUAACUCCAUUUUCCCUCCAAAAUAUAUGGUUAGAAAGCUAACUCAAACAAUUUUCAUGCCUUACAUAUUUCCAAAUCCCAAAUGGAACAGGGUGAAAAAUAUGGUCGAAACGGCAACUGCGGACCUGAGGCGGGCAGAGGCAGUACACUACGAAAGUACCGCGCCCGCUCCUGGGAUCAAAAUUUCUACUAUCUUAUCUGGAUUUCAAGGCUAAUUCUUACUUUUUUAAUUCAUAUAUCAUUUUAGGAUCAAAUCAAUUCACUUGUCUAUAAAUCAUGCAUAAAUUCAAUUGUACCAUUUUACGGGUAAACAAACAUAUAACAACUAAUCCUUUUUUCAUCAACAUAUAAAACAUACUGAAGCAGAUUGCCAUUUGUGCGUGAAUGUGUCUAAGGACUUUGCGACUAGUCAUGUUUCAAGCAAAUAUCAAUGAGCCGACUCCUUCAAUAAGUCGUUGGGAGUUCAAGAGUUUGUCACACCUCCUUUUACACACCCGAAGAUAUAUAUAAGGAAGUUUUUCCAAUAUAAGUGACACUAUUCGAAAUGGAAUUAUUUAUUUAUUAGAGUCACCACUUGGGAUAGUUUAUUUAGUGUCCCAAGUCACCGAUUUAUUUUACAAAUCCUAAAUCAAGGAGAUUCAACUUUCCUUAUGAAGUCUGCAAACCAUAAAUUCUGAGUAAGAAAUUAUGUUAACCCGGGGGAAGGUGUUUGGAACUCCCGGGGUUCUGUGGUUCUAGCAUGGUUGCUUAAACUAUUACAAUUGGUCUAUUAUCUGAUUUUAAUAAAUAUUUUAAAACUAUGGUACAAUUUUAACUUAUUAAACUGCUUUGAAUUAUUUAUAGGAAGAUUCAGUGUUAUUUAUAAUGCGACUUGAAACAAGUCACAUGUAAUGCACCCGUUGUCCAUGAUACAUUUAAUUUACAUUGACGAGAAUUGGAGUUGGGUCACAUGAAAUACACACCCGAGUUUAAGGAAAUUAAUUUAAAUCGUUCGCCUAAAGCAACUACACACUUUCAAGUUUGCGAGGGACAUGGCAAAUUCAACUAAUGGCACGCCUCCAUUCUAAUUGUUCAAAAGAUUUGAUGUUAUUCAAUCACGAGGGUCAUAAGCUAUUCAACAACAAUAACCCAGUAUAAUCCCAAAAAUGUGGUUUGGGAAGGGUAAUAUGUAUGCAAACCUUACCCCUAUCCCGAGGAGCAGAGAGGUCGUUUCCAGGAGACCCUCAACUCAAGAAAGCAACAAAAGACGAUAUAUUAGUACUAUCAAUAGACCCAUAAAAAAUAACAUAAAAUACAUAACAUAACAUAAAAUAACAAAAAUAACAGCAAUAUAAGAAAUAUAGGAAAUACGAAAAGGAUGGAAGGUAGACUAAUAUCCAACAGAUAAAGCACUGAAUCUGUAUCUGAUCAGUAGCAUCCUAAGACUAGCUUCUAACUGGCUAGUGUCACUCUAUGGCCAUGUCCUUGGUAAUCCAAAAGUCGGGCCAUGUCCUGCUUGAUCACCUCUCCCAAUACUUUUUAGGUUUCCCUCUACCAAUCCUCGUGCCCACCACAGCUAGUCACUCACACCUUCUCACCGGUGCAUCAGUGCUCCUCCUUUGAAUGUGCCCGAACCAUCUGAGUCUUGGUUCCCGCAUCUUGUCCUUCAUGGGGGUCACGCCCACCUUCUCUCGAAUAUCUUCAUUCCUAAUCUUAUCCAUCUUUGUAUACCCGCACAUCCACCUCAACAUCCUUAUCUCUACUACUUUCAUCUUAUUGAUGUGUGAGUUCUUAGCCGGCUAAAACGAGAUCCUAUAAAACAUGGAUGGCCUAACCACUACUCUAUGAAACUUACCCGGGGAACACGCCCACCUUCUCUUGAAUAUCUUCAUUCCUAAUAUUAUCCAUCCUUGUAUGCCUGCAUAUCCAACUCAAUAUCCUCAUCUCUACUACUUUCAUUUUCUGAAUGUGUGAGUUCUUAGCCGGCCAACACUCGGUCCCAUACAACAUGGAAGGCCUAACCACUGCUCUAUAAGACUUACAUUUUAGUAACAGUGGAACUUUCUUGUCACACAGGACUCCCGUCGCUAACCUCCACUUCAUCCACCCUACCCCUAUACGGUGUGUGACAUCCUCGUUGAUCUUCUUGAUCCCCUGAAUAACUGACCCAAGGUACUUGAAACUACCACUCUUAGGGAUGACUUGAGAGUCAAGCCUCACUUCCGCUCCUGCUUCCAUCGGCUCGGCCUCAAAUUUGCGCUCGGGGUAUUCUGUCUUUGUCCUGCUCAACCUGAAACCUUUAGAACUAAGGGAAUAUCUCCAAACCUCCAGUCCCUCGUUAACGUUGCAUUGUGUCUCGUUAGUUAGGGCUAUGUCAUUAUAUAAUGGCAUGAUCCAUGACACCUCCCCUUGAAUAGGAUGUGUUAUGGCAUCCAUCACCAGGGAAAAUAGGAAAGGGCUGAAAACAGACCCUUGGUGCAACCCCAUAACAACCAAAAAAUGCUCAGAGUUGCCUCCUACUGUCCCAACCCGGGUCUUAGCUCCAUCAUAAAUUUCUUUAAUCACCCUAAUGUAGACAACUAGAACCACUUUAAGCUCUAAGAAGCUCCAUAAGACCUCUCUAGGAACCUUGUCGUACGCUUUCUCUAGAUCAAUAAACACCAUGUGGCGAGCCUUAUUCUUAUCCUUGUAUUGUUCCACCAUCCUCCUAAUAAGGUGGAUAGCUUCUGUGAUCGAUAGCCCCAACAUGAAACCGAACUGGUUAUCUGAAAUAGACACAAUCCUUUGCACUCUCAUUUCUACUACUCUCUCCCAGACUUCCAUGGCAUGACUCGGUAAUUUUAUACCCUUAUAGUUAUUAGAGCUCUGGAUAUUGCCUUUGUUCUUAUACAAUAGAACCAUUUUACUCCACCUCCAUUCUUCAGGCAUUCUAUUAGUCUUGAAUAUAACAUUAAACAACCCAGUAAGCCAUUCCAAGCCUGUUUUACCCACACACUUCCAAAGUUCAACUGAAAUUUCAUUUGGUAUGGUAGCUCUGCCCCUAGACAAUCAAUAAGAUUUCUCUGGAAUCGUUUGACUAGACAUGAGUUUAAUGAAAAAUAUGACUCUACCCACACACCUCCAAAGUUCAACCGGACUUUUGUUUGGCCUGGUAGCUUUGCCCCUUCUCAUCUUACGCAUUGCCUUCAUGACCUAAUCGGCCUCAAUGUCCCUAUAAUAACUUAAUUCAUAGGAUCUUUCGGCAUUUCUCAAUUCACCUAGUACAAUAUCCUGAUCCCCUUCUUCAUUUAAAAUUUUAUGAAAGUAGGCCUGCCAUCUCCUCUUAAUCUAGAUAUCCCCCAUCAGAACUUUUUUGUCCUUAUCUUUUAUGCACUUCACCUGGUCCAGAUCCCGAGCCGUCCUCUAUCGUACAAUAUCCAAACCAAAUCAAAUUAUUUCGGAAGGUUAAUCUAAAUUGACAAUCGCUGAUAUUAUAACAGUUUAUUCAAAAUCCCAAAGAUGUGCUACCUAUCUUAUAUUGAGCCCACAAGGAUAGUAGGAACACUUGACUACUUUAGCAGAAAAGAAAAAGCUAACAUGCUAAAACCAAAAUAAUAAAAGUCCAAGUACAAGCCUUAUAUGAAUCACAAAGUCCUUAGCAUGAAUUAAUAUGAGAAAUUACAUAAUUUAAACAUGGAAUACGGGUGCAUCUUCAGCAAUUACUUGACAUUCAACUAAAACUUAGGUUUAAGGAUUCAAAAUGCCUCAAACUCAAACUCCACAUAUUGACAAGGUCCCAAAAUGUACCUCGUUUCAGCAAAUAAACAAGGAAAACAACCUGAGGUUAAGGAGAGAGCAGCAACCGUAACUCACCCAAAAAUGAAAGCAAACAACUGCAAACCCAACAAAACCAAAAAGAAGCAAACCAAGCUCUUAAACCAUUUUGAACCCAAAAUAACCAGUAAUUAUUGACGAAAAGUUGACUAUAGAGAUUUAAUAAAGAAACAGGAAACUAGAACCGAAUUCUUCCACCAAAUUGUAAGAAAUCUUUAAUAGUUUUGAACUCAACUUUUCUUUAAUUUUUCAAUGUUCAGUCUGUAGAAAAUCAUUCUAUCCAUAAUAUAUGUACUUUGGUUGUAUUAGCAUGAUUUUCAGGUAUAGGUUUUGAUGAAUGACAAACAANNN
rnacentral:lncRNA from 1 species